rnacentral:rRNA from 1 species
UACGGAGGAUCCAAGCGUUAUCCGGAAUCAUUGGGUUUAAAGGGUCCGUAGGCGGUUUAGUAAGUCAGUGGUGAAAGCCCAUCGCUCAACGGUGGGACGGCCAUUGAUACUGCUAGACUUGAAUUAUUAGGAAGUAACUAGAAUAUGUAGUGUAGCGGUGAAAUGCUUAGAGAUUACAUGGAAUACCAAUUGCGAAGGCAGGUUACUACUAAUGGAUUGACGCUGAUGGACGAAAGCGUGGGUAGCGAACAGG